rnacentral:pre_miRNA from 1 species
GCAGGUACUGUUCCAGUUUCAAGGUUUCAAAGCUGAAGGCUUCCCAGAGAUCCUGCUGCUGGGUGGUCUUUAGCUUUGGCACCUUGAAACUGGGACUUUAGCUUU